AUUGGACGCUGGCGGCAUGCUUUACACAUGCAAGUCGAACGGCAGCGCGGGCUUCGGCCUGGCGGCGAGUGGCGAACGGGUGAGUAAUGCAUCGGAACGUGCCCAGUAGUGGGGGAUAGCCCAGCGAAAGCCGGAUUAAUACCGCAUACGACCUGAGGGUGAAAGCGGGGGACCGAAAGGCCUCGCGCUAUUGGAGCGGCCGAUGUCGGAUUAGCUAGUUGGUGGGGUAAAGGCUUACCAAGGCGACGAUCCGUAGCUGGUCUGAGAGGACGACCAGCCACACUGGGACUGAGACACGGCCCAGACUCCUACGGGAGGCAGCAGUGGGGAAUUUUGGACAAUGGGGGCAACCCUGAUCCAGCCAUGCCGCGUGCGGGAAGAAGGCCUUCGGGUUGUAAACCGCUUUUGUUCGGGAAGAAAUCCUCUGGGCUAAUACCCCGGGGGGAUGACGGUACCGGAAGAAUAAGCACCGGCUAACUACGUG
rnacentral:rRNA from 1 species